rnacentral:rRNA from 1 species
UACUUAGUGGCGCACGGGUGCGUAACGCGUGGGAAUCUGCCCCUUGGUUCGGAAUAACAGUUGGAAACGACUGCUAAUACCGGAUGAUGACGUAAGUCCAAAGAUUUAUCGCCGAGGGAUGAGCCCGCGUAGGAUUAGGUAGUUGGUGUGGUAAAGGCGCACCAAGCCGACGAUCCUUAGCUGGUCUGAGAGGAUGAUCAGCCACACUGGGACUGAGACACGGCCCAGACUCCUACGGGAGGCAGCAGUGGGGAAUAUUGGACAAUGGGCGAAAGCCUGAUCCAGCAAUGCCGCGUGAGUGAUGAAGGCCUUAGGGUUGUAAAGCUCUUUUACCCGGGAUGAUAAUGACAGUACCGGGAGAAUAAGCUCCGGCUAACUCCGUGCCAGCAGCCGCGGUAAUACGGAGGGAGCUAGCGUUAUUCGGAAUUACUGGGCGUAAAGCGCACGUAGGC